AAAGGAAUUGACGGGGGCCCGCACAAGCAGUGGAGCAUGUGGUUUAAUUCGACGCGACCCGAAGAACCUUACCAGGUCUUGACAUCUACUUAAGAGUUUAGAGAUAGACUUGUGCCCCUUCGGGGGAAAAGUAAGACAGGUGGUGCAUGGUUGUCGUCAGCUCGUGUCGUGAGAUGUUGGGUUAAGUCCCGCAACGAGCGCAACCCUUGAUGUCGGUUGCCAGCAGGUAAAGCUGGGCACUCCGGCGUGACUGCCGUAGAUAAUACGGAGGAAGGCGGGGAUGACGUCAAAUCAUCAUGCCCUAUAUGACCUGGGCUACACACGUGCUACAAUGGGGUGAACAACGGGAAGCGAACCCGCGAGGGUAAGCGGAACCCUAAAAACACCUCUCAGUUCGGAUUGCAGGCUGCAACCCGCCUGCAUGAAGCCGGAAUUGCUAGUAAUCGCGGAUCAGCAAGCCGCGGUGAAUACGUUCCCGGGCCUUGUACACACCGCCCGU
rnacentral:rRNA from 1 species